UAAGGAAUAUUGGGCAAUGGACGCAAGUCUGACCCAGCCAUGCCGCGUGCAGGAUUGACGGCCCUAUGGGUUGUAAACUGCUUUUGUAUGGGAAAAAACCCCCGGUCGUGCACCGGGGCUGAUGUUACCAUAAGAAUAAGCAUCGGCUAACUCCGUGCCAGCAGCCGCGGUAAUACGGAGGAUGCAAGCGUUAUCCGGAUUCAUUGGGUUUAAAGGGUGCGCAGGCGGAACAAUAAGUCAGUGGUGAAAGCCUACAGCUCAACUGUAGAACUGCCAUUGAUACUGUUAUUCUUGAGUAUAGUUGGAGUGUGCGGAAUGUAUCAUGUAGCGGUGAAAUGCUUAGAUAUGAUACAGAACACCAAUCGCGAAGGCAGCUCACUAAACUAUAACUGACGCUCAU
rnacentral:rRNA from 1 species